UAAUUCCUAGAAUACAUACAAUGACAUGAGAAUGGUUGUAAGGCUGAGAUAGAAAUGAGAGAGUCAUCUUAUGAGUAACCAUUGCCCCAGGUUGGAUCUGGUUUUAUGAAGAAAAUAUGAGUGGUUUAUGUCUUGAAAACUCAGGGUAUUACAAUAUCCCCAAUGGGAUUAUUCGUCCCCCUAAAUGAUACUAACUUGUCUGAAAUACUAAGGGAAGAAUGAAAGGAUGCACGGG
rnacentral:lncRNA from 1 species